AGAAAGAAGAAGGAGCAGAGGAACGAGAAAAGAGGGAAAGAAGGAAGGAGGAGAGGAAGCGUGAUCACAGGAUGCACCACAGGAGUAAACAAAAGGAAAUUUCACUGUUUGACGGAAGGAAAGUGUCUGACAGCACAUGAAAUGGAGGGGCAGUGUAGAGGGAUUCUAGGCUUAAUUCCUUUAUUAUUCUGGGGUCACUAUAGCGAAAUGAACCACCCACUUUUCCAGCACGUUUUACGCAGUGGAUGCCCUUGGGAAGAGAGAAGAGAUGGAUUCCUUCCCAUCUCUGGGAAUCAUCCAUACACACUCAUUACAACAAUACACUAUGGACAAUUUAGCCUACCCAUUUUACUUGUACCGCAUGUCUUUGGACUGUGGGGGAAACCAGAGCACCCGGAGGAAACCCACGCGGAUACAGGGAAAAUAUGCAAACACACAGAAACGCCAACUGACCCAGCCAAGGCUCGAACCAGUGGCCUUCUUUCUGUGAGGCGAGAGCACUAACUUCUGAGCCACUGCAUAUGCCAAUUAUAUUUUCACUUAAUUUUUAAAUUUUAAGUAAAAUUCAUUUGGGUUUUGGAAAAUAUUUUGGUUUAAUUCAAAUAUUUGAGGUCUGACAACAUGGAAUAUUUCAUUUUGACUCGUUGUCAUUUUCUGCAUAUUCUUAAAUGUAGACAUUCUUAUUCAUUAUCUUGAAAACCGAGUUGUGUAUGAAAUAUAAUAUAAGAUUCAAAUAAAUAAAAUACCAUUUCACUUAAAUCA